rnacentral:rRNA from 1 species
GACUCUGUUCAACGGCCGCGGUAUCCUAACCGUGCGAAGGUAGCGUAAUCACUUGUUCUUUAAAUGUGGACUAGUAUGAAUGGCACCACGAAGGUUAUACUGUCUCCUUUUUCUAAUCAGUGAAACUAAUCUCCCCAUGAAGAAGCGGGGAUAAAGCUAUAAGACGAGAAGACCCUAUGGAGCUUUAAACAACAUAGCACUUGCCACACACCAUUAAAAUUCCAGAAUCUUCAAUUCUCUGAGCAAUAUGACUAUAAGUUUUUGGUUGGGGUGACCGCGGAGCAUAACACAACCUCCAUGUUGAAAGAAUCAUUUUUUAAGCUAAGAACUACAACUCUAAGCAUCAACAUAUUGACAUCCAUUGACCCAAUACACUUGAACAACGAACCAAGUUACCCUAGGGAUAACAGCGCAAUCCACUUCAAGAGCUCCUAUCGACAAGUGGGUUUACGACCUCGAUGUUGGAUCAGGGUUUCCCAGUGGUGCAGCCGCUACUAAAGGUUCGUUUGUUCAACGAUUAAAACCCUACG